AUAACACUUAGAAAUAGGUGCUAAUACCGCAUAAGCGCACAGCUUCGCAUGAAGCAGUGUGAAAAACUCCGGUGGUAUACGAUGGAUCCGCGUCUGAUUAGCUGGUUGGCGGGGUAAAGGCCCACCAAGGCGACGAUCAGUAGCCGGCCUGAGAGGGUGAACGGCCACAUUGGGACUGAGACACGGCCCAAACUCCUACGGGAGGCAGCAGUGGGGAAUAUUGCACAAUGGGGGAAACCCUGAUGCAGCGACGCCGCGUGAGUGAAGAAGUAUUUCGGUACGUAAAGCUCUAUCAGCAGGGAAGAAAAUGACGGUACCUGACUAAGAAGCCCCGGCUAACUACGUGCCAGCAGCCGCGGUAAUACGUAGGGGGCAAGCGUUAUCCGGAUUUACUGGGUGUAAAGGGAGCGUAGACGGCAGCGCAAGUCUGGAGUGAAAUCCCAUGGCUUAACCAUGGAACUGCUUUGGAAACUGUGCAGCUGGAGUGCAGGAGAGGUAAGCGGAAUUCCUAGUGUAGCGGUGAAAUGCGUAGAUAUUAGGAGGAACACCAGUGGCGAAGGCGGCUUACUGGACUGUAACUGACGUUGAGGCUCGAAAGCGUGGGGAGCAAACAGGAUUAGAUACCCUGGUAGUCCACGCUGUAAACGAUGAUUACUAGGUGUUGGGGGACCAAGGUCCUUCGGUG
rnacentral:rRNA from 1 species